rnacentral:rRNA from 1 species
UACCGAAAGCGGCUGGCACCCGUCCACAACUGCCAAAUCUCGGGCCCUCGGGCCCGCAGAACCCCGCGAAAGAAGUGCAUUAAUCUGUUAUGCGAAGUUGGGCGAGAGGCGUCUCGCCGGAUCCCCCCCGGGGGUCCGAAUCAAAGCGUACACCCCAUUUUCAACCACACUAAACUCUGAAUCUGAACUCGAAAGGGAGGCCUGGCUUCACGGCCGGCCGCCCUCAACCUUAUUAACGUUGUAAAA